rnacentral:rRNA from 1 species
AGUGGCGGACGGGUGAGUAACGCGUGAGAAUCUGCCCUCAGGAGGGGGAUAACGGUUGGAAACGACCGCUAAUACCCCAUAUGCCGAGAGGUGAAAUGAAAUUCGCCUGAGGAUGAGCUCGCGUCUGAUUAGCUAGUUGGUAGGGUAAAGGUCUACCAAGGCAUUGAUCAGUAGCUGGUCUGAGAGGAUGAUCAGCCACACUGGGACUGAGACACGGUCCAGGUUCCUACGGGAGGCAGCAGUAGGGAAUUUUCCGCAAUGGGCGAAAGCCUGACGGAGCAAUACCGCGUGAGGGAUGAAUGCCUAUGGGUUGUAAACCUCUUUUUUCAGGGAGGAAAACAAUUGACGUUUACCUGAAGAAUAAGCAUCGGCUAACUCCGUGCCAGCAGCCGCGGUAAGACGGAGGAUGCAAGUGUUAUCCGGAAUCACUGGGCGUAAAGCGUCUGUAGGUUGUUUAAUAAGUCAACUGUUAAAUCUUGAGGCUCAACCUCAAAAUCGCAGUCGAAACUAUUAGACUAGAGUAUAGUAGGGGUAAAGGGAAUUUCCAGUGGAGCGGUGAAAUGCGUAGAGAUUGGAAAGAACACCGAUGGCGAAGGCACUUUACUGGGCUAUUACUGACACUCAGAGACGAAAGCUAGGGUAGCAAAUGGGAUUAGAUACCCCAGUAGUCCUAGCCGUAAACUAUGGAUACUAGAUGUUGAACAGAUCGACCUGUGCAGUAUCAAAGCUAACGCGUUAAGUAUCCCGCCUGGGAAGUAUGCUCGCAAGGGUGAAACUCAAAGGAAUUGACGGGGGCUCGCACAAG